rnacentral:ribozyme from 1 species
UGUUUUUUUUUCUUUUUUCUCUUUUCUCUUUUUUCUCAUAAAAAUAAUGGAAAAGGGACAAAAAAACAGAGUGGGAAAAACAAAGAGA